AUUGAACGCUGGCGGCAGGCCUAACACAUGCAAGUCGAGCGGAUGAAGGGAGCUUGCUCCUGGAUUCAGCGGCGGACGGGUGAGUAAUGCCUAGGAAUCUGCCUGGUAGUGGGGGAUAACGUCCGGAAACGGGCGCUUAUACCGCAUACGUCCUGAGGGAGAAAGUGGGGGAUCUUCGGACCUCUCGCUAUCAGAUGAGCCUAGGUCGGAUUAGCUAGUUGGUGGGGUAAAGGCCUACCAAGGCGACGAUCCGUAACUGGUCUGAGAGGAUGAUCAGUCACACUGGAACUGAGACACGGUCCAGACUCCUACGGGAGGCAGCAGUGGGGAAUAUUGGACAGUGGGCGAGAACCUGAUCCAGCCAUGCAGCGUGUGUGGAGAAGGUCUUCGGAUUGUAAAGCACUUUAAGUUGGGAGGAAGGGCAGUAAGUUAAUAACUUGCUGUUUUGACGUUACCAACAGAAUAAGCACCGGCUAACUACGUG
rnacentral:rRNA from 1 species